GCUGGGUGUGGUGUCGGAUGCCUGUAAUCCCAGCUACUCAGGAGGCUGAGGCAGGAGAAUCGCUUGAACCCGGGAGGCAGAGGUUGCAGUGAGCCGAGAUCACGCCACUGCACUCCAGCCUGGGCAACAGAGCGAGAUUCUGUCUCAA
ensembl:misc_RNA Metazoa_SRP Metazoan signal recognition particle RNA